rnacentral:lncRNA from 10 species
GCCUGGGGCACAAGCGGCCCCACAGCUCAGGCUCAGACAAGCAGCUGGAAGCCUGGUGCGCGUGGAUGUCCCCAUGGCUUUAAAGGACGCCCCACAGAACACGGAUUAAUCAUAAUAGAGAGAAAGGACAGCGUUGCAGGGGAGGCUGCAGACACGGCAUCAAUUAAACCGUCAGCGUUCACGUCACCAGAGACCGCCCAGGGUGAGAUUUUACACCUGCCGCCAGGACACCUGCAGAAGCGCAGCCUCACCCCCUGCUGUCCCCGCCCACCCAGGAUCUCAUCACCAGGAAUCCAAAGGCAAAGCAGUCCGAGUGCCCACAGCACGGAGGGGCCAGGAGCCUGCACAGGCUGACAGAGAUGGAGGAGAGACGGCGGCUUGGGGAAGGGCGUGACACCAUCAGACUCUGCUCUCAGAAACUCGUGGGGACAGUGGUCAGGCUGCAGUGGGGCCUUGCAGGGACCUGUCCAUUCCCUGAUUCUGACGAUGCUGAGGGCUUGUGAAUGUCCUUGUGUGCAGGAAACACACCAAAGAGCCUGGCUGUGUGGACCACGGUGCAGCCCAGCUGCGCACACUGCGUUUCCUGUACCAUACUCGGCACUCCGGCCUUGCCUGCGCACUGCCUGAGUCUGCAUUAUCUCUGUGUGUAACUUGGCCCCACCCCGGGAUCCGGGGAGGCUGAUCCCCCACGGGCCUCUCCCAACCUGAGCAGCGCCCUCCUGGCCACUGUCCACUGCUGCCUGAGGCCCUGCCCCAGCAGAAGGCACAGGCUGGGACAGGCCUGCAAGAAUGGCCAGGAGGGGCCUCCCAGGGUCGAGGCAUCUGAGCAGCACCCUGCAGGACGGGCAGGCCCCUCAUGCCCCGGGCACCUGCACAGGGCCUGCGAUCUCAUGCAUUCGAAUGGUGCCGAAUGGGCCAGGGUGUCCUGGGGGAUCCUGUCGGGCGCCCUCCUCAGCUCUUCCACUUUCCACAUGAGGACUUGGUGCCCAGCACCUUCCUGUGCAAGAAGUCAGGGAGUUCAAGACGAGAUCAAGGCUGAUCCAGGCCUUGCGCGGCUCCUGCUCACAGGAUCCUGGGGACCGUUUCAAGAAGAGCCUCAGGACACGGAGAAUGCUCAGUCUCCUGGCUCUCCCCGCCAGGCAAGAGGGCCCGGGGGUGGAGGGAAUCCAGGGGACACAGUCCUCACCCCACUGUCAGCGCCAGCAGACCCCAACACUCAUCCCCCAGCCCCAGGCACACAACCCGC